UACAGAGGGUGCAAGCGUUAAUCGGAAUUACUGGGCGUAAAGCGUGCGUAGCCGGUUAUGUAAGUCAGAUGUGAAAGCCCCGGGCUCAACCUGGGAAUUGCAUUUGAGACUGCAUAGCUAGGGUGCGGAAGAGGGAGGCGGAAUUUCCGGUGUAGCGGUGAAAUGCGUAGAUAUCGGAAGGAACACCAGUGGCGAAAGCGGCUUCCUGGUCCAGCACCGACGUUCAGGCACGAAAGCGUGGGGAGCAAACAGG
rnacentral:rRNA from 1 species